UCCCUGGUGGUCUAGUGGUUAGGAUUCGGGGCUCUCCCUGCUGUGGCCAGGUUCAAUCCCUGGUCUGGGAA
rnacentral:tRNA from 1 species